rnacentral:snRNA from 1 species
GGGAACUGUUCUUGACUAAUGA